rnacentral:rRNA from 1 species
UACGAAGGGGGCUAGCGUUGUUCGGAAUCACUGGGCGUAAAGGGCGCGUAGGCGGCUUUAUAAGUCGGGGGUGAAAGCCUGUGGCUCAACCACAGAAUUGCCUUCGAUACUGUAGAGCUUGAGACCGGAAGAGGUAAGUGGAACUGCGAGUGUAGAGGUGAAAUUCGUAGAUAUUCGCAAGAACACCAGUGGCGAAGGCGGCCCACUGGAUCGGUACUGACGCUGAGGUGCGAAAGCGUGGGGAGCAAACAGG